rnacentral:rRNA from 1 species
UACGGAGGGUGCAAGCGUUGUCCGGAAUCACUGGGCGUAAAGGGCGCGUAGGCGGCUCAUGAAGGCUGUGGUGAAAGUCCGGGGCUCAACCUCGGAUCGGCCGUGGCGACUCGUGGGCUGGAGCGCUGUAGAGGCGGGUGGAAUUCCGGGUGUAGCGGUGGAAUGCGUAGAGAUCCGGAAGAACACCAGUGGCGAAGGCGGCCCGCUGGGCAGUGGCUGACGCUGAGGCGCGACAGCGUGGGGAGCAAACAGG